rnacentral:pre_miRNA from 1 species
UGAGCACCAAUAAGCACACGGACUCCAGAUUUCGCAUUGUAGCGCUUGCCGUGGCUUCGUUGGGACCAUCC